AAGUCGUAACAAGGUUUCCGUAGGUGAACCUGCGGAAGGAUCAUUUCCAAAUUAACCUUUUUUGAGUUGCUGCUCUUCUCUCUCUUCGGGGAAAAAGAGCAGCAAAUCAAAAAAAAACCUUUACCACAAACACCAUUUGUAUUCUAAAACACAAGUCUAACAUUCUUUCUAUAAGAAGAAAAACAAAACAAAAUACAACUUUUAACAACGGAUCUCUUGGCUCUC
rnacentral:misc_RNA from 1 species